GAACUUAAGCAUAUCAAUAAGCGGAGGAAAAGAAACUAACAAGGAUUCCCUCAGUAACUGCGAGUGAAGUGGGAAAAGCUCAAAUUUGAAAUCUGGCAGCUCUUUCAGGUUGUCCGAGUUGUAAUCUAGAGAAGCGUUACCUGUGUUGGACCGUGUAAAAGUCUUCUGGAAUGGAGCAUCAUAGAGGGUGAGAAUCCCGUCUUUGACAUGGACUACCAGCAUGCCAAGGUGCACCCUCAAAGAGUCGAGUUGUUUGGGAAUGCAGCUCAAAAUGGGUGGUAAAUGCCAUCUAAAGCUAAAUAUUGGCGAGAGACCGAUAGCGAACAAGUACCGUGAGGGAAAGAUGAAAAGAACUUUGGAAAGAGAGUUAAACAGUACGUGAAAUUGCUGAAAGGGAAACGCUUAAAGUCAGUCGCAUUAGCUGGAAAUCAGGCUUGCUUUUGCAAGGUGCACUUUCUAGUUGAUGGGUCAGCAUCAAUUUUGAUCGUUGGAUAAAGUCAUUGGGAAUGUGGCAUCUUUGGAUGUGUUAUAGCCCAGUGUUGAAUACAGCGGUCAGGAUUGAGGAAUUCAGCAUGCCCCUAGGGGCCAGGUUUCGACCAUGUUCAUGCUUAGGAUGCUGGCAUAAUGGCUUUAAUCGACCCGUCUUGAAACACGGACCAAGGAGUCUAACAUGCCUGCGAGUGUUUGGGUGAAAAACCCAUACGCACAAUGAAAGUGAAAGUUGAGAUCCUUAGGGAGCAUUGACGCCCGGACCAGACCUUCUGUGACGGAUCCGCGGUAGAGCAUGUAUGUUGGGACCCGAAA
rnacentral:rRNA from 1 species